UGUUGUUCUUGAUAUCGACGCCGUGUAAGGUACAUUAAGAACUACAUGACCUGUUCACCUAACUAACCAUGCUUGGCUGCUUCUUCUACAGAUGAAUGGCUCAACUCACAUAUUGCUCAUGCAUUGCCAUGUGGCAUAACUUUUUGACCUUGGCGGUUAUGUAUCUGACAAGUUUGGGAAUCUGUGAGCUGAAGUGAUGAUGAAUUACUUUGGAAAAAAUGAUGCAGCUGUAUCAGAAGGGUGUCUGACUGACUAACUGCCUGUUGAACUGAAGAAUUAAUGCGCAGUUCAGUAAGUUGGUUAUUGGGUCUGAACCAGAGUAGAUUCUUUUACCAAACAACUUAAAAUUGUUGUUGAGACAUUGUUUGAUUUAAAUCUUUAUAUUCAAGUCCUCAUUUCCCUGGAUCAGCAAUGUUGUGCUUAUCAAUUGAGAUUUCCUUACAGGAUUAUUGUUAUGCAAAUUGCUGUUUGAAUGCCUAUUGGUUCAUGUGUAUAUAUAUAUGUCCUUGUGCAGAAACAUCUGUUGUGUACUAACAUAUGAUAUUGGAUGAAAAAUAAAGAUACAUUACAUUGUUGACCAUAUUCAUCAUAGAGAAAUAUGAACCCAACUAUAAUAAAUACUGCUAACUACUCUUAAGCUAGACAACAUGCAUAUAUAUAUAAAAAUAUAUAUGUGUCUGUUUUGCCUAACAUUGCCCAUCUUCAUCAAAGAAGACAGACUCAAGCUGUGUAAUAAUAAAUAACACCUAACCACUCUGUAAAACAUACAAACACCGGCGGGCGUGUAAAGUUCAACACUAAAAGUGACAAACAGAUGAAAAAAUGUAAAGAAAAAUCGAUGCAGCU